UUUUUUUACACCCGAUCCUAAGUAAAAUUUGUCGAUCUCAUCGAAAUAAAAUAUCUCUGUGUUUUCCGAUCUCAUCAGCCGUGUAUUUGCCACACCGCCACACAUGUGAUAUUAUUUUUCGAUGUCAUCGAAUUAUGUAUUUUACGUAUAAACCUAAUAUAAUAAUAAGGCUGGAAUUUCGUAGCGUUGGAAUUUCGUAGCGAAGGUUUUAAUUUAUUUAAAUGGCGUCUAGAAGUUCACGAAGCUUUCGAGCUCGAAGAAAAGUUACUAUUAAUGUUGUUGGAGAAUACAAAAGAAAAGUUACAAAAAAUUGGUACGGUUCUAACAAUGCUGAAACUCAACCUUUAAAAAAAAACAAAGAUGUUGAUGACGAUGAGGUGUCUACCAGCAGCUCUCAGAACUACGAUAAUAAUAUAGUUAUCAAACAAUCAUUUUAUAAGAGAUUACAGCCUCCAUAUAAUGAUAUUACGAGGAAAAAGGCAGAAAAUUGGUGUGCAUUAAAAAAACAAGCAAUAGCUUUAAAGUUGCAAAGUUCAUCUGUAUCACUGUUAGCAACAAGAUGCACUGAUAAUGAAACUGGAAAAAAUACUGAACCUUUGUUAAACAUACCUUGUUGUAUGUGUGAUAAGGAUGACUCUAUAGAUCAAUUAAUAGUGUCCGGAUUGAUCUUUUAUUUGGUAUUGCCGUGAGUGUUGGGAGCAUUAUCACCAAAAACUUUCUCUUUUUCAUAAAGCUCGUGUUUGGUGUUCACAGGUUGGGUAUUUUAAGCAAUAUAACUGUUCAAUGCGAGUCAUCAAGUCCUCUUCUUGUAAAUGUGUAAAUUC